AGGAAAUAGAUAUGCUAAAUCAUCUGUUUCUGUAAACUGAAGCACAUGGGUUCAAUCCUUGUUUGACGUUUAUGGAAGAUAGCUGAUAUUAUGGAAAUGUACUUUCAUUAGAACAGUGUAAAGAAAAGGUAAAUUUUAUUGAUAUGACCACUGCGACCUGUAUGCUCUAGUCGGCUGGCCCUCGCUACCUAUUCGUCACCAGACCCACUGGCUCCAGGUCAUCUAUAAGUCUAUGCUAGGUAAAGCUCCGCCUUAUCUCAACUCACUGGUCACGAUAAAAACACCCACCCGUAGCACUCGCUCCAGCAGAUAUAUCUCACUGGUCAUCCCCAAAGCCAACACCUCCUUUGGCUGC
rnacentral:lncRNA from 1 species